rnacentral:lncRNA from 1 species
AUGAACAACGGGGUUUUAACCUCCGUUCCCAAGAAGCAGCAAAGGAAAGAGGACACAAAGCCCACGCAGGAUUCAGGAAGUGACCGCAGGAGGGGGGACGCCUGCGGAAGCACACGAGAAAGCAGAGGCCGAGGCUGGGGAAUGUGUGCGUGGACACGCACCGGACAGCUCCCAGGGAAGACACAGGCAUGGCCGGGCACUGUUGGAAACACAGGGGACAUGGGGAGCGGAGAGCAUGACAGGAGCUCCUGUCUGCAGAGGUCGGACGUCCCCGCCGCGAGGCCCUGGUGCUGCCGUGUGGUGAGCGGUGCGUCCGCUCCCUCUGCAGCCUGGAAACCCGAGGGCAGCGCCCCUCAACCUCCCUGUGCGGGGCCGGCACUGUGGCUUAGCGGGUGAAGCUGCUGCUUGCAGUGCCAGCGUCCACACGGCUCCAGUCCCAGCUGCUCCACUUCCGAUCCAGCUCUCUGCGGUAGCCUGGGAAAGCAGUGGAAGACGGCCCAAGUCCUUGGGCCCCUGCACCCGUAUGGCGUGGGUGAGCCUAUUCUCGGCACUUGGGAAUCUUCUAGAUGAGAGGGCUCGUCCAUGAGAGGACAGAUGGAGCUGGGAGCGCUAGCCAGACCUGCCCUGGAGGGGCGGUGUCCUGGAAACCGUGGGAGAAGGAUUUGGAAAUGAAAGCCAGCAGCUGUACAAUGGGGACUUCCCAGGGGUCCCCAGGCCGGAGGCAGCAGUAGCGGCCCCUAGGGGCUGCUCCCCUGACUCCCAAGAAGACACCCGGCCCUCGCUCAGGCCACGUUUCUCCUAGGCUUCGUUCUAAACUAUGGAUUUUCUAGUCUGUGGUGGAAAAGAAACGGCAAAUCAGAAGGUGGGGGUGGGGGUGGGGCUGUGAGACACCGAGGCAGAGGAUGGAGAAACCCGAACAGGAAGCGCAGACUUGGGUCCUUCGAAUGCCGGGUAAGAGAACAGCCGAUUCCCCUCCCCAGGCAGGUGCAGCUGUUUAACCUUCCUGGUUGAUGGAUGGAGUGGAGGGAGGGGCCAGGAGUUGGGGCUGCUGGGAGGCCUCUAGGGCCCUGGGGGCAGCCCUCAGGUGGAGGGUGUUCUCCAUGGAGCCUUGGUGAUUAUUUGAGCUCAACUUCAGCCUGGCCUCUCUCCUUCCUGGCUCACCAGGCGAUGGCACCUCUGCACCUGCUACUGCGAGCUGAAAUGCCCCCCCCCCCCCCCCGGGAAGCUCCGCUCAGAUAUUUCAGUUGAAGACAUGAGAAGCAGGCUACGGCCCCCACCAGUGGCCUGUGGUCACCACUUCACACUCUAACAGUGCGUACCUGUACUGCGGCCUGCAGUGAUCGGCACAGUUAGGGCACGCUUUACGUCCUCGGUUCAAAAUCAUGGGAUGAGCAGGGCUCAGAAGGGUUUUUGAAAUAAAAAAUACACUUUGUAUCA